UACGAAGGGUGCUAGCGUUGUUCGGAAUUACUGGGCGUAAAGCGCACGUAGGCGGCUGUGUCAGUCAGGGGUGAAAUCCCGGAGCUCAACUUCGGAACUGCCUUUGAUACAGCACGUCUUGAGUCCGAUAGAGGUGGGUGGAAUUCCUAGUGUAGAGGUGAAAUUCGUAGAUAUUAGGAAGAACACCGGUGGCGAAGGCGGCCCACUGGAUCGGUACUGACGCUGAGGUGCGAAAGCGUGGGGAGCAAACAGG
rnacentral:rRNA from 1 species